UACGGGGGGGGCAAGCGUUGUUCGGAAUUACUGGGCGUAAAGCGUGCGCAGGCGGUUCGUUAUGUCCGAUGUGAAAGCCCCGAGCUUAACUUGGGAAUGGCAUUGGAAACUGGCGGGCUGGAGUGCGGCAGAGGGGGGUGGAAUUCCACGUGUAGCAGUGAAAUGCGUAGAGAUGUGGAGGAACACCGAUGGCGAAGGCAGCCCCUGGGCCGACACUGACGCUCAGGCACGAAAGCGUGGGGAGCAAACAGG
rnacentral:rRNA from 1 species